ACGACGCUGGCGGCACGCCUAACACAUGCAAGUCGAACGGAGAUUUGAGAGCUUGCUCUUAAAUCUUAGUGGCGGACGGGUGAGUAACACGUGAGCAACCUGCCUCUGAGAGAGGGAUAGCUUCUGGAAACGGAUGGUAAUACCUCAUAACAUUACAUGACCGCAUGAUCGUGUAAUCAAAGAUUUAUCACUCAGAGAUGGGCUCGCGUCUGAUUAGCUAGUUGGUGAGGUAACGGCCCACCAAGGCGACGAUCAGUAGCCGGACUGAGAGGUUGAACGGCCACAUUGGGACUGAGACACGGCCCAGACUCCUACGGGAGGCAGCAGUGAGGGAUAUUGCACAAUGGAGGAAACUCUGAAUGCAGCGAUGCCGCGUGGAGGAAGAAGGUUUUCGGAUUGUAAACUCCUGUUUCGAGGGACGAUAAUGACGGUACCUCGGGAGGAAGCUCCGGCUAACUACGUGCCAGCCGCAGC
rnacentral:rRNA from 1 species